rnacentral:misc_RNA from 1 species
CCAACUUACGUGGCGAAGACGUUCAGGCGCGCGUGUGUCUGUAUACAUUUCUGUAGCCCCGUUGGAGAAGAGGUUCCACACAAUGAUGUCCCCAUCUUCCGCCCCGGCGUCUUCAUCACAAUCCUCCUCCUCUGCAUCGACGAUGUCCGACGCGCCCGACGCUGCAGUCACCAGGCCACGGCUGCGCAUCGACUUUCCUCCCGUCAAGGACAAUGAGGAACUCGUCGAUAAGCAACGCGCCGCCGUUGGUCAGGACGAAAUUCGUGACGACAUGGAGAAAGACAUCCCACCAGUGAUCCGUAGUGUGUUGGAGCUGUCGCAUCUGACCAUGAGCGGUCACAGCCAGUGGCUGCGUGCUGCACCUGGCUACCAGGGUGGUCUCUUCCACAAGGGCAAGCCCUUCUGCUUUGCCAGUGGAUACCGAGACACUAGCCGUCCACUCGAUGCCGAAGAUAAGGGUAACCACAUGAAACUCAAGGACCCGCUCGUGUACGGCACCUUAUCGCUGCCAGUAACGGCUGCCUACAUAUGCGAGCUGCACGGUAAGGGCAUCUUCAACCUGGAAGCGCCUCUGAUCCACUACCUACCAGAGCUCCAGGGUAAGCUCAGCGAGGACGUCACCGCCCGCAGCGUGCUCUCCUUCACCCAUGGCAUCGACGACGCACAUCUGCUCAAGGAUACGGGAGCACGCUGGCAUCGGCCGUGCUUCUCUCCGUCGCUGUGCGCCGAAACGCACGCUCGCGUGUACGAGCCAGUGAAUCACUUUCUUGCCGGUGGCACGACGCCCGCAACGGCGCUGACGGGGCAGCAGCAGCGAGCGAACCUCGUCCAGUACGCCCGUUCCUCACCUCGCAUCACUCGCAACUUUACGCGAUCGCUUCACCGAGCCUACAUCAGCCACACCUCCGUGGCCCUGCUGCUGGCUGCGGUGGAGACGCAGCUGAAGGGCCGCAGUUUCGAGAGCGACAUCCGCACCGUCUUCUUUGAGCCCGCGCAGAGCCAUGGGGCCGGCUAUGGCGCACCAACGUUGUGGAAGGACCCGAACGAGCUCUUCUACCAACCCACAGGUCAGGCUCUGCAACACGAGACCUUCAAGCGGCCGGUGACCAUCGGCGACCCGCGCAACUGUGGCCCUGCGGUGUGGAACGGCUCGCUGAACCUCUACGCCCCUGUCGAGGACUACGGCAAGCUUCUGCUGCUCUCGCUCGACACCAUAAUGGACGCCCGUGAGCUGCUCGGCAAGCCGUCUAACGCUAGCGGGCGCCCCUACUACGACUUUGGGGUGCAGUACGUGCCAUCCAAAGACCAUCUGCAGCUGACGAAGUCAGUCUUGUACGGCAUCGAUGCCCUCCCUGCCGUCGCGUCCUUCCGCUACAGCUGCGAGCACGACCUCGGCUGCUUCGGCGUCGCCUCCUGCGGCAGCCGCGGCGCUCGUUUCUUUGUGAACAACCUCUCCCGCAUCAUUCAGCACCUGUUCGUGAAGCACGUGCUGGCCAAAGGGCUCGACCCUGAGAAACCCGUCAACCUCGACGACCCCGCGCAGAAAGGCAAGGAGACCGAGGAGACGCUCCAGCGGAUGAUGAAGCGGCAGAAAUUUACGAGCUACUUCACGAAGUACGAGGCGCACAGGCGGUACUGAGGAGAGCGGGGACGAGGUGAGGCAUUGGGGCAAGCUGGAGAGUGCCCGUUGGAGGUGUGCAUGUCUGUGUGUGUGUCUGUGCCUGUGUGUGUGUGUGUGUGUGUGUCUUCGAUCUUCUGUUAGCUACAGCGCC